ACUAAAUGAUACCAGAUUUAGCCACAAAUCGGACUGAAGAUUCCUUCCUGUAUUCAAAACCACGUGCAUAAGGAAAGAAAUAUGCAGGAAAGAAAUCCGUACACUGUAGUAAUACGUGGAUGAAGUGAUUGAAAUGGUUAAAAACCGUCAAACUGUCUGCAGACCAUGUGAUGGACUGCUGGAGCCACGGAGACCAACAAACCACACUCGGAGAUAUAUUUGUUCUGCCCAAUGCUGCUUCUGUGCGACUCCCCAGGCGAAGCCACUGUGGAACUUUUAGCCUCUGAGUUAUACCAUAUGAGAAGAUAAAGCUGGAGAGAGAUUGGCUGUCAAUCUGACGGAUGCUAGGAGCCGUGAUGAUGGUCACCCACAUUAAAACUGCGAGUUAGAUACUUGUCACAACAUGGAUGGAUCUGGAAGACAUUAUGACAAGUGAAAUAAGUCAGUCACAGGAGGACAAAGACUGCAUGAUUCUUCUUAUAGUCGAAGGUACAGAAGUAGACAAUGGAAUGGUAGUUACCAGGGGUUAGAGGGAGGUGGAUAUCAGAAGUUGUUCAAUGAGUAGAAAAUCACAGUUCUACCAGAGGAUUAAGUUCCAGAGAUCUGCCGUACAAUAUAAUGCCUACAGUUAACAAUAAGGUGUUAUGUACUUAAAAAUUUGUUAAAAGAGUAGAUCUCAGGUUAAGUAUUCUUUCCACAAAAUCA
rnacentral:lncRNA from 1 species